GUGGUGUGUGCAUGUGUGUGCGCGCGCGUGUGUGCGGGGUGUGCCGUGAGCGUGUGCCCGCGGUUCGGGGGAUGAGUAGGGGCGCUGACUUUUAGGACCAGCCAUUUGAGCCAAGCUGGAGGCGACGUCUUAGAACCUAGGAUGAGUCUCGUUUGGUUUUAGUCUGCAAAGCUCGUCUGCAUCAGACAGGAAUUUUCCCCAGACGCGGGUGCACGUGAAUUAAUUCAUCAGAAGGCGGUUCACGGCCUGAGUGAGGGGGACGAGGGCGGCGAAUUCCUCCGCCUCAUUCCUACCCUGACGAUUCGAGAUGCUCGCUUCACCCCACUGAGGAGUAACUCAGUUUUGUGGGAUCCCACUGCCCUCCAGGUGCCGCUCCGAGUGCUCUACACAGAUUUUCAUUCAGUCCUUGCGGCACACGAAGGACAAGUCCCAGGUGGCCUUGGAAUGAACAAGCCCCU
rnacentral:lncRNA from 1 species